rnacentral:rRNA from 1 species
AUGGUGGGGCUGCAUCAAAGUGCGUUCGUGAGAGGCCGAUCUUUGCAUGAUAAUUUCAUGCUUGUCCAAUGCACAACUCGCAAACUUCAUGCGCUGAGGAACCCCACGGUUAUGCUAAAGCUUGAUGUAACUAAGGCAUUUGACCCAAUACAAUGGCCUUUCAUUCUAGAGGUCUUGAGGAGAUUGGGUUUCAGUCAUAGAUGGAUCACUUGGAUAUGUGGGUUGUUGGCAACAUCUUCUACGCGGAUCCUGGUUAAUAGCACGCCUAGCAAACUGUUCCUCCUUUGCCAGGGCUUUCGGCAGGGCGACCCGUUGCCGCCUAUGCUAUUUAUACUCUAUAUGGAGCCCCUACGAGCACUCUUUGAACAUGCAACCGGCAGAGGUUUACACGGGCAGCUAGCGAGGAAUGGGCUGAGGCAAAGAGUUUCGAUGUUUGUCGAUGAUGUGGUGGUCUUUUUCAAGCCCACAAUGCUGGAAGCUAUGACAUGUGAUGCACUCUUGCAGGUAUUUGCACAAGCCUUGGGCUUGGUGGUCAAUAUGAACAAAAGUGCUAUCUGGCCGAUUCGAUGUUCGCCCAAGGAUGUGGAUUUUGUUAAGACAAUCAUGGGUUGCUCAAUGGCCAAUUUUCUGUGCACCUACUUGGGUCUACCCUUAACACUCAGAAAACAGUCUACGACGCAGUUGCAAGGCAUGGUGGACAAGGUUCGGGACUGUUUUCCACAUUAG